UUCAAAAAAAUGUUAGUAGAGAAUCUUAAUAUGAUGUUGGCACAUCACCGUUAAAAACUAUUAUUUCUUUGCCAAUUAUGUGACAUCUCACAUUUUCUUCUCAACCUUGAAUAUAUUUUACUUUGCUCUCAAGUAUCCCUCUUUCCUUCCCUUUCUUCAGCCACACAAUUCAAUAAGAAAACAAAAACCACCCAGCAAAGUACAACCAACUGUACAUUGUUAGGAAAAUGAACUUGCAUCAUGAGAGUAUGAUCCAGUGAUACUGAAGAAAAUAAGCACACUAUUGAGAAAUGUCAUGUACAUAGAUAUUUCAUUAACCUACUUACUUUUUUGUUUUUCCCAUUAUAUAUGUUGCUAUUUCAAAAUAAAAGUUUCAUAGAAAUGCAAUUGUUAAGCUAAGAAAAUCUCAUCUUAGUGUAUCACAUGGUUCUCUUGUUGUUGCUUUAUUAGCAAUUAAGGUUGAUGUGAGGAAAGAAUUGCAAAUGCUACUUUAGAGAAGCAUGAAGCUGUUGCUGUGACCACUACUACAAUACAGGAACAACAACUAGAAAUGUAUCUUUUGUAGUUUUUUCAAGAAAUAUGACAUACUAAGAAAAACCAAUGGCAUUAAGGGAAGACAAAUUAAUAAUCCAUCACAUUUUGCUCUUUUAGAAUACUAAUUAAUGAUCCAUUAUUUAGUAUUCAUUUGAAGUCUCCUACAGCUCUUUAGAGAGCUUAAUUGGUUCUAUAUUAUACGAAUCAAAUCCCAUUCUACUGUAAGACUGUAACAUUAUGAGCUAUUCUUUGCAUUUGAAUACAAGCAACUUAUUUCAAAACUUUACUUUUCACCCAUUAACAAUACCAACAAACAUGUUUGCAGGUCAAA